rnacentral:rRNA from 1 species
CCUACGGGAGGCUGCAGUGGGGAAUAUUGGGCAAUGGAGGCAACUCUGACCCAGCAACGCCGCGUGAAUGAUGAAGGUCUUCGGAUUGUAAAGUUCUGUGUUGGGGGAUGAACACAAUGACGGUACCCCAGUAGCAAGCCACGGCUAACUACGUGCCAUCAGCCGCGGUAAUACGUAGGUGGCAAGCGUUAUCCGGAAUGACUGGGCGUAAAGGGUUCGUAGGUGGUUUAGUAAGUUGGGGGGGUAAUUCCGGGGCUCAAGCUCGGCGCAACCGCCAAAACUCUUAGACUAGAGUGCAGGAGAAGUAAGCGGAAUGCGUGGUGUAGCGGUGGAAUGCGUAGAUAUUAGGAGGAACAUCAGGGGCGAAGGCGACUUACUGGAGUGUAACUGACGCUGAGGCACGAAAGCGUGGGGAGCGAACAGGAUUAGAUACCCGAGUAGUC